rnacentral:rRNA from 1 species
CUGCGGAAGGAUCAUUACCGAGUGAGGGCCCUCUGGGUCCAACCUCCCACCCGUGUUUAUUCUACCUUGUUGCUUCGGCGGGCCCGCCUCACGGCCGCCGGGGGGCACCCGCCCCCGGGCCCGCGCCCGCCGAAGACACCAUUGAACUCUGUCUGAAGAUUGCAGUCUGAGCAGAUUAGCUAAAUCAGUUAAAACUUUCAACAACGGAUCUCUUGGUUCCGGCAUCGAUGAAGAACGCAGCGAAAUGCGAUAAGUAAUGUGAAUUGCAGAAUUCAGUGAAUCAUCGAGUCUUUGAACGCACAUUGCGCCCCCUGGUAUUCCGGGGGGCAUGCCUGUCCGAGCGUCAUUGCUGCCCUCAAGCACGGCUUGUGUGUUGGGCUUCGCCCCCCGGCUCCCGGGGGGCGGGCCCGAAAGGCAGCGGCGGCACCGCGUCCGGUCCUCGAGCGUAUGGGGCUUCGUCACCCGCUCUGUAGGCCCGGCCGGCGCCCGCCGGCGACCCCAAUCAAUCUUUUCAGGUUGACCUCGGAUCAGGUAGGGAUACCCGCUGAACUUAAGCAUAUCAAU